UCCCAGACUCCUACGGGAGGCAGCAGUGGGGGAUAUUGCACAAUGGGGGGAACCCUGAUGCAGCGACGCCGCGUGGGUGAAGGAGUGCUUCGGCAUGUAAAGCCCUAUCGGCAGGGAAGAAGCAAGGCGGUACCUGACUAAGAAGCCCCGGCUAACUACGUGCCAGCAGCCGCGGUAAUACGUAGGGGGCGAGCGUUAUCCGGAUUCACUGGGUGUAAAGGGAGCGUAGACGGCCAUGCAAGCCAGGGGUGAAAGCCCGGGGCCCAACCCCGGGACUGCCCUUGGAACUGCAUGGCUGGAGUGCGGGAGGGGCAGGCGGAAUUCCUGGUGUAGCGGUGAAAUGCGUAGAUAUCAGGAGGAACACCGGCGGCGAAAGCGCUUUACUGGACCAUUAUUGACGCUGAGGAACGAAAGCCAGGGGAGCAAAUGGGAUUAGAUACCCGAGUG
rnacentral:rRNA from 1 species